CAUUGGCUAUGCAUUCAGAUCGCAAUGUCAAUUCUUCCCAGUCUGAUAUGGAUAUGCAAGCGAAUAAACUACAGAUCAACUGGGACCGCUGGUUGACAUUCCUUUCUUGACAAGCAAGAGUUACGAAGCACGAUCACAUCUGUUACAGUGACUGUGAGGAGCUUGUUCAAAGUGGAGAAAAUGCCUUGGAUUCAGAGCAAGCAAUCAUGACUUAAUUAGAAAGCAGCAGGAAUCUUAUGGAUGGCUGAAAGAACCAGAGGUAACUCAUUUCCUGUUUUAGGACUACAAGCUGGUGAUCUCUAUAGCCUCGCUAGCAAGGGAGACACAAGACCAGAGAGACUUUUGAGCGACUCUGUAAGACCCUGACUUUACACGAGACACAUGUAAAAUCACCACACAAUCAGGUUACUGCAACCAGAACCAGGCAGCCUGUCACCCAAUCUCCAUGAUAAGCAGUGGCCAAUCCAAAGGGAGAGGGUGGGGCCAAACAAUGGACAGAGGUGAAUGGCCGUGGGCUCCAUGACACGGAAACAGCCAUUGUCUCUGUCGUCCCUCUGUGGCACACAGGCGGUGCCUCCAAUCCCGGUUGAAAGUAGCCAUUGUGGCGAUGUCUCCAUUGUGGAAGUACGCUAAUUGUCUUUGUGUCUCUGUUCUUCGCUCCCCUUCUCCUGUAUCUCACAAUGGUGCACUGUGCUCCCUUCGCCGGCUAACAAUCAGCCCCUCUGUUCCCACAGACCAUGGAGUCACUGUCCACUGUGCCUGUACACACACUCUCGCUGGCACACACACGUACACUGGUAUCACAAACACACACGUACACCCUAACAGACACAACGAGGCAUGUAUACACACGGUGUAUACAAAUUCACACAUGACGCAAUCACACACAAAUAGAUUAGAGCAUGAUGGAUGUCAUGGCGAAGAUCGAUUUUUUUUUUUUAGAAUUAGAAUGAAUGACCCAUAGUGUUAGGCUUACAGAAGGUUCAAAACAGUAGUGAGCAUUCUUCCCUGUUAAACUGCUGCUGUUCUGCUGAAGUUAGCCUUUUGUUUGUCUAAAUUAUUUAUCUGUACCUGCACAAAUGACAGAUACUGACAGUCUGCCCUCCGGCUAUCUAAUGAACCCUCUCUGUGCUGACAAAUAGAAUGAGAGCUCCAAGCAUCAACACUACAUUUAGGAGAUAUGCUUUUAUUUACUCUGAAGAUCAAAUCAAUAGCCAUUAGGGAAACAUCAAUCAAACGCAGAUAGAGGCUGAAAACAACAAGUGAUGUGUUGUAAUCACAGUUGAAAACACUGUCAUGACUAAUCCUUUCUCUGUAUAAGCAGCAAAGAAAAUGUGUUUCAGACUGCAGCACAUAGAGAAGUGAAACAGGAAGUAUUAUUUGGUCUUUUUGUGCUGAAGCAGAGUCCAAGAUUGAAGAGAGUUUUCA
rnacentral:lncRNA from 1 species